GAUGAAGAACGUAGCAAAAUGCGAUAAGUAAUGUGAAUUGCAGAAUUCAGUGAAUCAUCGAAUCUUUGAACGCAUAUUGCGCCCGCCAGUAUUCUGGCGGGCAUGCCUGUUCGAGCGUCAUUUCAACCCUCAAGCUCAGCUUGGUGUUGGGACUCGCGGUAACCCGCGUUCCCCAAAUCGAUUGGCGGUCACGUCGAGCUUCCAUAGCGUAGUAAUCAUACACCUCGUUACUGGUAAUCGUCGCGGCCACGCCGUAAAACCCCAACUUCUGAAUGUUGACCUCGGAUCAGGUAGGAAUACCCGCUGAACUUAAGCAUAUCAAUAAGCGGAGGA
rnacentral:misc_RNA from 1 species